CUCCGGGAAUUGUUCCACUAUUCAUUAAAGGCCGGGGUGCAAACCUCCAAAUUCCCCACGGGUUCCCAAAUAGUCACCCAUUGGCUACUCCUCAGCAGUGUAGAUGUUAUCUGCCCAUGAAUGACAGGACUGUAACGGCUUUGGGUGCCUGGCAAGUGCCAGUGGGAGUCUGGGGAUGUCAAAGGUUAAGCUUGGAAUUUACUACUAGAACAAACAUGUGCCUGAUAGUAAAUGUCCAACAACCCUUCCCUUCAUUUCAUGAAGACAAAAAUGACAGACUCAUUUGAGAAGCUUUAGGAUAAUUUACUUAUUUAUAAAUUCAACGUUUUCUCAAAAGCUAUUUCUAUUACAAACAAAUAAUAUUUACAACAAAAUUCAAUCAUAUUACUUCAUUUAUACUCUAUGUGAACAAUUUAUGUCCUCAUACUAAUUUAAUAUUUACAAUUUGUUUUGCUGUAAUAUAAUUCUCUAAAUUAAAUACAUAAUAUUUAU